AUAACAGUCGAACGCUGUAACCAACUCAGCCAUGGGGCA
rnacentral:tRNA from 1 species